GAUGAAUGCUGGCGGCGUGCCUAACACAUGCAAGUCGAGCGGCAGCGAGUUUUACACUGAAUUCUGGAAGCUUCUGAGUAGUACAGAAGAUUUAUUCAAGAGUUUUGUGUAAAAUGUCGGCGAGCGGCGGACGGCUGAGUAACGCGUAGGAAUUUGCCCCAAAGUGAGGAAUAACUGCCCGAAAGGGUAGCUAAUGCCGCAUAUGGUCUUCGGAUUAAAGCCUUCGGGCGCUUUGGGAGAAGCCUGCGUUGGAUUAGGUAGUUGGUAGGGUAAUGGCCUACCAAGCCGACGAUCCAUAGCUGGUCUGAGAGGAUGAUCAGCCAGACUGGAACUGAGACACGGUCCAGACUCCUACGGGAGGCAGCAGUGAGGAAUCUUCCACAAUGAGCGAAAGCCUGAUGGAGCAACGCCGCGUGAAGGAUGAAGGCCUUCGGGUUGUAAACUUCUUUUAUGAGUGAAGAAUAUGACGGUAACUCAUGAAUAAGCACCGGCUAACUACGUG
rnacentral:rRNA from 1 species